CACACUGUAAACGAUGAUAACUAGCUGUCGGCGAUAGACCGUCGGUGGCCAAGCGAAAGCGAUAAGUUAUCCACCUGGGGAGUACGACCGCAAGGUUGAAACUCAAAGGAAUUGACGGGGGCCCGCACAAGCGGAGGAACAUGUGGUUUAAUUCGAUGAUACGCGAGGAACCUUACCCGGGCUCGAACGGUGCAGUAAUAUGGUAGAGAUAUCAUAGCUAGCAAUAGACUGUAUCGAGGUGCUGCAUGGUUGUCGUCAGCUCGUGCCGUGAGGUGUCGGCUUAAGUGCCAUAACGAGCGCAACCCUUGUCGUUAGUUACCAUCAAGUAAAGUUGGGGACUCUAGCGAGACUGCCACCGUAAGGUGU
rnacentral:rRNA from 1 species